UAGGUCGGGUGUGUAAGUGUAGCGAUACAUUGAGCUAACCGAUACUAAUGAACCGUGAGGCUUAACCUUACAACGCCGAAG
rnacentral:rRNA from 1 species